UACGAAGGGGCUAGCGUUGCUCGGAAUUACUGGGCGUAAAGCGCACGUAGGCGGCUUCUUAAGUCGGUGGUGAAAUCCUGGAGCUCAACUCCAGAACUGCCUUCGAUACUGGGAGCUCGAGUCCGGGAGAGGUGAGUGGAACUGCGAGUGUAGAGGUGAAAUUCGUAGAUAUUCGACAAGAACACCAGUGGCGAAGGCGGCUCACUGGCCCGGUACUGACGCUGAGGUGCGAAAGCGUGGGGAGCAAACAGG
rnacentral:rRNA from 1 species